rnacentral:sRNA from 1 species
GCACUUCAAGCCUUAAAUGGAACGCCUC